CCUACGGGUGGCAGCAGUGGGGAAUAUUGCGCAAUGGGCGCGAGCCUGAACCAGCCAAGUAGCGUGAAGGAUGACUGCCCUACGGGUUGUAAACUUCUUUUAUAAAGGAAUAAAGUGAGGCACGUGUGCCUUUUUGUAUUUACUUUAUGAAUAAGGAUCGGCUAACUCCGUGCCAGCAGCCGCGGUAAUACGGAGGAUCCGAGCGUUAUCCGGAUUUAUUGGGUUUAAAGGGAGCGUAGAUGGGUUGUUAAGUCAGGUGUGAAAGUUUGCGGCUCAACCGUAAAAUUGCAAUUGAUACUGGCAGUCUGGAGUAGAGUUGAGGUAGGCGGAAUUCGUGGUGUAGCAGUGAAAUGCUUAGAUAUCACGAAGAACUCCGAUUGCGAAGGCAGCUUUCUAACAUGCCACUGACAUUGAUGCGCGAAAGUGUGGGUAGCAAACAGGAUUAGAUACCCCUGUAGUC
rnacentral:rRNA from 1 species